rnacentral:rRNA from 1 species
CGAGUUAGCUCUCCUAGCCAUGAUGGAGGGCGGCGUACGGCUCAGUAACAUGUGGUCAAUCUACCCUCAGGACGGAGAUAACCUCGGGAAACUGAGGCUAAUAUCCGAUAGAUAAUGGAUCCUGGAAUGGUUCAUUAUUCAAAUGGCAUAUUGCUCAUGCGCAGUGUGUCGCCUGAGGAUGAGACUGCACCCUAUCAGGUAGUUGGUGGGGUAACGGCCCACCAAGCCUAUAACGGGUACGGGCCCUGAGAGGGGGAGCCCGGAGAUGGGCACUGAGACAAGGGCCCAGGCCCUACGGGGCGCAGCAGGCGCGAAACCUCUGCAAUGCGCGAAAGCGCGACAGGGCCACCCCGAGUGCUAGCCGCUGAGGCUAGCUUUUCCUUAGUGUAGUAAGCUAAGGGAAUAAGCGGGGGGCAAGCCUGGUGUCAGCCGCCGCGGUAAUACCAGCUCCGCGAGUGGUCGGGACGAUUAUUGGGCCUAAAGCGUCCGUAGCCGGCCUAUCAAGUCUCUGGUUAAACCUCAAGGCUCAACCUUGAGAUUGCUGGAGAUACUGUUAGGCUAGGGGGCGGGAGAGGUUGAGGGUACUUCGCGGGUAGGGGCGAAAUCCUAUAAUCCGCGAAGGACCACCAGUGGCGAAGGCGCUCAACUGGAACGCGCCCGACGGUGAGGGACGAAAGCCAGGGGAGCAAAGGGGAUUAGAUACCCCCGUAGUCCUGGCUGUAAACGAUGCGGGCUAGG